GUGCCUCUGUGGCAAGGUGAACACUGAGUGAAACUGCGGAACUGAUCAAGCUGAUCGGUGAUCUAUUUUGCGUAAGAUCGACAAGCCUUUGGAGGAGCCCUCGUUCAUUCAUAGGAAGUUUGUCCCUCUUCGCUUCCCCCCGACACUCGGCGAAAAAGUUUUUUUAUGUGAAGACCAACCUGCGGACAGAAAAUGAUCAGUUCCAAGAGAGAUCUGGGGCCAAGAACCAGACGCCGCUGUAUGGGAGACACCUGAGGUGCACGAGACCUUUCUCCAGUCACCUCAAGUCCUCAGUGAUACACUCAUCACAUGCCUCUGUCUUCCACAAAUGAGCUAUGAUUGAGAUGAACCUGAUGUCCGCGCGGACCAGUAAGGAAACAUUGAAGAGGGAUGUGCUUGAUAUACGUCUGGAAAAUGACACAGACCUCAGGGAAAUUUAUGAAUUUGGAAUGAAACUGGGUCAAGGUAGCUUUGGAGUUGUUUAUGAAGCCACCCACAUUGAGACACAGACUAAAUGGGCUAUUAAGGAGGUUUGCAGACCAGCGGCAGGAAGUUCGAAAGUUGUGAUGGUGGAUAACGAAAUAGAAAUUCUCAAACAAGUGAAUCAUGCUCACAUAAUACAUCUUCAGGCAGUCUAUCGCACAGCUACGAUGAUUUAUUUGGUUACUGAGCUGUGCAAAGGAGGUGACCUGAGGCAGCUGUUGCAGCGAAAAAAGUUCUUCACAGAGGAUGAGACAAGAAAUAUAAUCUGCAGUUUAGCUGAUGCUGUUGUCUACCUUCAUAAAAGAGUUACAGUGCACCGGGACUUGAAACUUGAGAAUAUUCUUGUGAAAAAUUCUCUCAACGAGGAUGACAGCAGCAUCGAUAUCAAGGUGACAGAUUUUGGAUUAUCGGUGAAGACAGGUGGUGCAGGGAUUGAGAACAUAAUGACAGAGGCCUGUGGGACUCUCAUGUAUAUGGCACCUGAAAUGAUGAGCGAUCGUGGUUAUAGCCAGAUGUGUGAUGUAUGGAGCAUAGGAGUUGUUAUGUAUAUGUUGCUGUGUGGGGAACCUCCGUUUACUUCCAAAAGAAAGGCACUCCUACUUAAAGAGAUCAUGAACACGGAAGUCAGAUUUCCUCAACCCAUUUGGGCCACCGUCAGUGAUGCAGCAAAAAAUCUAUUGACUUGCCUUCUGAAAGUUGACCCUGCCUACCGCAUGUCUGCUAAUCAGCUCCUAGAAAACCCUUGGAUUACAGGCGACACUAAUGUGCCUGCUGUGCCGUCCAACAUAUUCGAGAUGAUGUGUCGCCACCGGGAAGAGAAAGAAAGAACACAGCCUCUGGCGGUUUCAUCCCUCACCUCUUCUGAGGACACCCUGGAACCUUUCCCAAUCCCCCCGGCAGUUUCACCGGAAACAAACAGUAACUGCAGCAGUGAUGCUAAACACAGGCCUGAGACAAACAGCAGCUCCUGUGCAUCCUCUGCAUCAAGCAAACUGUAUCAUGGAACAAAGGCUAACAAGAGUGGUGGCAGUCUUCAGGACAAGCGCAUGAACAACUCUGAUACCCCAAAACAGCCACCUGCCACACAGUCUCAUGCUGGUGUAAAACCCUCCAUACAGCCAAGUAUAAAGCAACGCAGGCCUCAGGACAAGAAGGACUUCAGUACAGGACAGAAACCACCCACCGACUCAAGUAAGGCAGACAGCCAGAGAAUUUCUACCUCUAGUAAAGUAGGACUGGCCCCUGCAAACCACCAGCUAGCUCUAAGACCAAUACCCAUACAGAAUAAAAUUAAAAAAACAAGCCAUAUCAAAUGAGAAAACGUGAGACACAGAAAAACUAGACAUAGACUGAUGCUUAGUAUGACAGAUAUACACUUGUUUUCUUAUUCUUUUGAUUAUUUUGAUAUGAAUGCAACUGAAUGGUGCAGCCUUUAUGGUGAUGGCCAGAGACUAAGCAGUGACAGGAGGGUCAAAAAAAUGUGAAUCUUAUACAGAUGUGAAAAUAGUGCAAGAAAUUAAAACCCACUGGAGCUGGGGGUCCAACUUCAGCUCUGUCUUGUGCCAAAAGAAAAGCCCAGUCUGAGUUUUUUUCCGAGAUGGGGUAGAACAGUUGAACAAAUGCUUCCUAUUACAUAGGCAACUGUUUGAGAGCACCAAGCAACGUAAAUACAGACUUACUUUUUAUUGUGGCCAGCAAAUGUAGAGAUUGAAUGAGUUUGUCGAAAUUUACUGAUGCUUUUAUCUUACAGCAAUGACCUAAUUAGUUAGUCGAGUAAAGACAGCCACCUGGGAGACUUGAGCACAGCACAGCUGAUUCCUUUAUGAAACUGUUAUUUAGUCAUCUGCUUACUGCUAGCAGCAUAUCUUGUUAUUAUUACUGUUAUUUCCUUAUUUAUAUAUAUUGGUAAUGUAUGCCUCUUACAUUUUAUAUUUUCUUGUGGUCUUUUACUACUUUAUAUAUAGAGUAUAUAUAGAGUUAAAUGUGCCAAAUAUAAAACACAGCAGUGAACACAGAACUGUUGCACAUUUUAUAUAAAAUUACAAAAACAAAGACAAAAUAUUUCUUACAGUUUCAUAAUAAUUUGCUGAAUUUCAGAGAAAAUACCCUUGAUGAAUAUAGAAGUUUUUACUGACUAUCAUUUUAGAACACCAAAGUGAGCAAUUGGGAUUUUCUUUUUUUCCAUUCUGACCUCUCAAUUCCAAAACGUCCUAUACGCAGUGACUGCACCCUCUCAGUGUCAAAACAGAAAAACUGUCACACAGGCUGGUUACGCUCCAUCUGAAUGCAGAGGAUUGGGACUGAGGGCAGCCACGGGUCUAAUCUCGUUUGGAGGCCAUUGAAAGCAGUAGGAGCUACUUUGAGGGCACUGCCAUUCAAGCACAGGUUUUUCCGCUGUAGAGAGAAUAAUCCCCAGCAUAGAUACAACAUUAAAGUAUCCAAGCAUAACACACAGGGUGAAUUUCAAAUCCACCCAUUUGCAUCUUGAAGUGAAUGAGUGCUGACAAUAGGGCCCUGUGUUCGUUCAGAGGCUCUGUGUUUUUACUGUGUAUGUGCAAAUGUAGUCUGCAUUUGUUUUCUUGAAAGAGUGAGCCUUUAUCAAAUUCUGUCCACGCAGACGUACUGUAAUGACGUUUCUUAACAUAGUGAGUAGAUAUGCAAAAUAGUUAUUUUUUAUUGUUUUUAAAAAUACAUAUAUAUUUAUUUUUUAAUAAAACAAAAUAGGAUGAACGAAUGAAAUGUGAAAUAUCUUUGAUUUAAGCUGCUUGCCAAAAAGACUGCUACGUUACUGCAACAUUAUUGACAUACUUUGGUUUACUCAGACGGCAAUAAACAGCAGAUGGAGCUGUAGUAAGUUGCUGAAUUCAUUUCCUGGAGUUAAUUUGACAGGAGGUGCUGUCCUUAAAGCUACCUAGUUUUGUGCAUGAAGAUGCGUAAUUAGAAUUGAUUGCUUGAGCCACUGCCCAUCGAAACUGUCAUCUCCAUGUAAUAUGUCAUUAAUUAAUUUGUUGUAUGCUUAUAUCUUGAUGGUACACUCAGACAAAUAAAUGGUUAAGACUUGCUUCCUUUUGGUUGCUGUCAUGUUGGUUUUGUUGAUAAUUCAAAAACAAAAACACACAGUUAAGAUUUAUCCAACUAAUUAAAACUUCUUGUAGUACAACACUGAAUUUGCAUGAACCUGUUUAUAAACCUAAUGUAUGGCAAAGUUUUGUCAGUGGAGAUACUUCUGUAAAAGGAGAUGGGAUUUGAGCACGUGUUCCUUACUGUCUUGUGCCUCAUUUUUUAUUAAUUAUGGGGAGAGAAAAAGUACAAGCAGAAUUUGACCUGCAGCAGAUUGUAGGGGUGUUUGCACAAGGCCCAGGGUGGAAAAAAUUUAAAGAGAUUAAAAAACGUUUUUAUGUAUAUUGACAGUCGGUUCAGAUGUUGUUAAAACACUGUCAGCUUGUAUUGUUGCAGAAAAACAGAAGCCUCCGGUUUUACUUUUUACUCCUUUUUGCCAAAACAACAGAGCAAAGAGGUGGGAGAGGCGGGUGGGGGACAGAAUGAGAGGCUGUACGGUGGAUAGGUUAGGGGCGUGAAUUUGGGGACAAAGCAUGGAGGCAAAGGAAAUUAGAAAAUUCGUCGGGAUGGAACGAGGGAUGCGCCCCCUGCAACCCCCUGAAACCCUCCCUCCUCCCCCUUUUCCUCCAGCAGUGCUCCUGACAGAUGGAAGUAAGGGUGGGUGGGUUGAUGGGCUGGAGGGAUUAAAACUCUGCAGCCCCAUUUUGGAGCCUGACGAGAGUGUCACUCCUGCAAAAAAAAAAAAAAAAAAGAAAAAAAGGUGGGGUGCAGAGAGGCACUUGUGGCGAGAGUCGUGGGGCGUGUGAAGUGGAUGCACGCUGGCUAAUGUCAAAAGAGGCAAGGAUGCUUCCCCUCCACGGGCCCCCCUCGGCUGCAUCCACCUUUAUCCACUGAGGAGCGUGGAGGGAGCUGCUCGGAGAGGGGGGGGGGGCGCAUCUCAAUAACCUUAAUAGAGCUCCCUUUAAUUAAUCAGCUCAUCUGCAGAGGCCCGAUACCUGCAGCUGACCCCCUCCCCACCACCCCUCCGUCCUCACCCCCGACACAACAUCCUCACACUGCUGCUGUGACAUUGUGGUAAUGAGGUAACGCAGCUACAAUGUCAUGGAAAUGUUGCAGAGACGUUAUCUGUGGGAGCUCAUCACACAUGCUGAUGUUCCUGAUCCCCUUCAGUGUUUACGUUGCGUGCGGAGAUGCGUGUGUGUGUGUGUGUGUGUGUGUGUGUGUGUGUGUGUGUGUGUGUGUGUGUGUGUGUGUUGCACCGCAGCUUUCAACCCCCCCCCCACACACACACACAGACACACACACACAAAAUAACAGAUACAUAUGGCCAAAUGGCGGGAGGAAACCAUGAUGCCUCUAUUUUCACAAAAGGAGAGGGAGGGGGUGGUUCUGCGUCAAGUAAACAUUUGAAACAGAUGGCAAUUUCAAAGCAAGCCUCAUCAAUCUUUGUUGACACUACCCCCUUUUUAAAACUACUCUUAUUUGGGAUAUUUGCAAUUAUAAUACAUACUGUAGGCUCAUUUGAAUAUCAAAUUAAUUACUGAACACACUGGAGUAAAUACCUCUUUUAUAAGUCCUUGUUAAAAGUGAAAAGUUCUUGACUACGGUUGGAUGGUGUGUUAAUUUACAGUGAUAUCUAAUCCCAAGUUACUUCACAUAAAAGGCAUUACUAUACAUAUUUUAAUGGGGAGGUGGUUGUUUUCCAAGCAAUUUUCUGCUAGAGUACAUUUUUAAUUUAUUCAUAUUUAAUUUAUUGGUCUCUGCAUACCCGCUCAGUAAAACUAAUCAACACCAUGUAUGGCCCUCUUAAAGCCACAUCUCUCUUUGGCAGGCAGACAGGCAGCCUCUGCAUUAGGAUAAGCUCUCCUCUCUUGUGCACAGAGCUGGGUGAAAUGCCCUGCAUUCAGUCAAGCAGGAGGAUGCCACCUCCAAGGAGACUCUUCAGUUCUCACAAACAACCUUUUAAUCAGAGGGAAAAAAGGGUGGAAAAUGAAAAAUGUGCCCAGCCUUGAAUGAUCCAAAACACUGCAAUUUCUGUGGAUAGUGACCAUCGUCGCUGCUGUCAGAAUACAGUCUGCUGGGGACAAUGCCUUUCCCUCUCUCUUUCUGUUACUUCUUGCCCUCAUACUCAUCUGCCCUUGAAUUGGUUUUAUGGAGCUUUGGCAGUCAUUUAGCACAGUAUGACUGGAGUUCUUAUCACCUGACUCCACUAUACACUCCAAAUAUCUAUCGACCCAUUGACACACCUUGAGGAGGGAUCUACACAACCUUACACAUGGAAAUGAUUUCAAUUAAUUACCAUUCCCCUUUGACAAGGCAGACAGGAGGGGGGAAACAAAGGAGCCCAGACAACAGGAGCAUUUCUCUGGUGUAAUGUGCACCAUGUGUAAUGAGCAGCGGAAAGGUCAUUUGACACAUUUCUGCCAGAAUGAAUUCAUUUAUUUCGAGCACUUAAUUCUGUAGUCACCUCAUUGGUGCACGGCUUGGCAGCGCACUGAGAGGGUGCAUUACCACAAGUGGAGGCUUAGCUUCCUCCCAACAGCUCGUGGUGACCACAGGUCUGUGGGAAUGCCUGAAGAGCAGGGAGAGAUAGUGAAAUGGAGUGUGGGAGAUCCAAUCACCUCCUCUAUCAUAGGAAAAUCGCCUCCAUCACCUUCAGUGUAAUUGGAACAUUCAUUACAGUUCAGUAAAAAUGCAGGUCGCCAUUAGAUGAGCAAUUUAAAAGUAGGCUUCUGCAGAAUGAGAGACUUGAAGGGUCAUGAUACGGGGUCACAGUCAAGUAAAUAAUGGGAAUUGGUCCCAUGAGGCUUGGAAAACCACAAAGCUCAUGGUCACGCACCAAAAUACAACUCAGGAAAGGAGGCAUGAAUUCAAUCAUCAGACGGAAAAUAAAAUUCCCCCUGUGCCCUCUCAGCAUUACAAUAAUUAGAACAGAGGCAGACUGUAAUUUGCUGUCAUAAAUGUAGUCGAAAAUGAGGAAUUUAGAAGCUGCUGUGGUGCCUGUGUGACAACCAGAAACGAUUUCCUUUUCUUAAUCACAAAGCUCCCAUUGAACAUGUAGAGCUAUGGGAAAAAAUAUAAUGUAUCCUGCCUCACCACGAUGCCAUGCCUCUGUGUGCUGUAUGUACAAACUAGACAAGAUAGUUAGCAGAAGAAGAUUAUUAAAUCCCACAAGUGUCCUUAAACCCUUUGUUAAUGAAGUCAUAUUGAAGUUUAGAGAAGUUUUACUGGGGUGUGGAUGUUGCUUUCAGCUGCCACUAGAGGCCUCAGUCUGGCUGAAAGUUGGACCAUUUUGUUUUUACAUACACUGUUUUGCUGUUUUCCCAUUUCUCUGCAGGGAAACAUUUCACUGUAAGCAAAACCAGAAAUGCACGCGUGAUCAAAGGAAGCAUAUUUAAUAUGUUUAGGUUUAAAAAUGAAGUUGUUACUUAUGUUCUGAAGGUUAUUUUAUAAAGUUUUUCUGCUAAACAAAGAAAUCGCAACAAUACCUCGUUGCCUUAUGUUCAGUGGUGCUUCACUAACUGCAAACAUGCCUGCAGUCACAGCUGAUAACAUGAUUUUAGAUUCUCUUUGAGAAAUUUAAACACUCUCACAACAAAUCUGGUUAUUUAUUUCUUUGUGAGGCUCCCACUAAUGACCAUGUUUUCGCAGGAGAAAAUGCUUCUACAUUAAAUAUGAAUAAACACAUCAUGAUGAAACAAUUAGGCAAUGGUCCUCUGUGCAGCUGGUUUAAGUAUCUGGAUGUCUAAAAAAAAAAAAAAAAAAACAGUAAUAACAAAAACAAAGCUGUAGAGAAGUAUUGUCCAAUUAGCCUUACUUCUCGGUGGAAAAGAAAGUAAUUAGUGAGUUUUGCAUUGAGGAAACCCACUGAGGGCCCUCUUCGUGUCAAGACAGAACUUUUCGGAUUGAUGAAAUAAGAUAAUAAUCAGUAGUAUGAUCACCUAUCGGACGGGAUGCCCAGAGGUUCAUGAUGGGAUGACACAUGGCCUCAGAGUCAGGAGGGCUCAUGCGGCAUAUGGGGUGUGCUUUCCUCUCAGCCCUUUUACCGCUCAGGAGGCAGAUUGGACUUCUCACUCUCAGCUACUCCGCAUUAUUGUCCAUUAUCACACCGUGGUCUAUGUGUAAGGUGACAGUGGUGCUCUGAUGGAGAGGCGACAGGGGGACCUAGACUGCAAUAACAUAUUAUUAGCUUUUUUCACAGCUCCACUGGGCUGGAUUUACACUGGAUAUCCAGAGACCUCUGAGGGCAGCCCACUGUCACAGCGGUGUCCACCAGCAGAGCAAUUGCCAGAGAUACACAGGUGUGUGUGGACUGAAUAGCCAUGCGCCCACGCAAGGCACAGUCGGGGCACAUGUACUCUCUCACACACGCACACGCACACGCACACGCACACGCACACGCACACACACACACACACACACACACACACACACACACACACACACACACACACACACACACACACACACACACACACAAACAAGGUGCGUCAGUGUGUCUGUAAUCAGUGACAGGCCCUUUCCAAUUAGCCUCAGUGUGCUUUCAUUCUUGUGUGCUAUUGUAGUACUACAUGUUCUCCUUUUGUUCUGUAAACUGUAAACAUAUCGCCUGCCAUCACUGUGGUGAGUCAAUACAAGAACGGAUAGAUAGAUAGAUAGAUAGAUAGAUAGAUAGAUAGAUAGAUAGAUAGGUAGGGAUCUCAAAGUGCAUUUACAUUCACAUAAGGGGGAGUGAAUCUGCCGAUCCUGUUUAAUGCGAGGUGCUCUUGUCCUUGGUAAUGUUAACAGUCUCCCUUGUGACUGAUGCCUCUUGUCCCAGCCCUGUUUAUAAAACAGUCAGAACUUCGUUAAGGGACAAUAACAUCAGCCAAGCUCAAUUAUGGUGACAUUUUGCUGACAUGCAGAUUGCCUCCCCUCAAUCUUUUUUUAUGUAAAAUACUGGUGUGCCAGUCACAUAUGGAUGGAUGAACUUUGGGAGAAUCAAUGGUAUUGAUGAAUCAUAGAUCAUACAAGUCAACAAGACUGACACCGGCAGAGUGAAUUCAUCGCACACAGAAAGUCAAUAUUAAAUUGUAAUCAUAAUCAGACAAAGUGAGUUAUGUACAAUCAAUAGCACAAUUAUGAUAGUACGUAGGACUUGUCCUUGCAAUACAGACAAUGCGUGCAUUCAAACAGGCUGUAUUGUGUUCAUUACAAUGUGAGCUUGUGUAGAUGUUAUGCAUUAAUUCGAGCAUCCCUUUAGUAACUAUGGUGAUCUGAUUACCUCAGGCUGCUUAUGUGAUGAUAAAACUGAAAAGGUGAUCAUGCCAAUCCUAAGAAAUACACCAGGGAGUUUUCAUUGCAUACUCUAUAUAUGUGCGAAAAAGAAAUACUACUAUCGCUAUGCAUUGCUGGAGACUAUGGAAGUUACCAAUUUUGCUGUGAAAUAUCCUAGAGGGAGAUUGUCAGGAGCAGAGUACAAUAAGACUGCUAAAUCCAGUGAGAUGAUGGUAUUUACUUGUCCUUUGGUGUGCCCUGAAAUAUUGGAAGGAUUGCAGGGUGUUUCAGAGCAGCAACACUCAGCAACUUCAGCUGAUGUCCGUGGUAUAACAGGACUGGCAACAGUAACUGAAAAAUAUAACUUAAAUAUAUCAAGCUUUUAAAAAAAAAUGGUUUUCUAUAUAUUUACCUGUUUAUUUUUUAUACUACUACUUUAAGAUUCUGAUGAAAUUGUGACUGCUUACUGAAAAGGUCUUUGAAUUUAAGGGAAAAAAAUUAGCACAUUAGACAAACUGUUAUGGCACAAAAUGUAUGUACACUAAACGGGGAAAAAAAUGGUUGUGUUAAAAACUCUACACAAGAACUGCCGUAUUAUUUUGUGCCCCAGCACAGUUUAAUGUCACAUAAUAAUGUGUCCUUAUUUGAGAUCAGACUUGGUGCUGUAUGUUUUCUGUGCAUAGUUUGCUCUGUUUUGGGAAGACAUCUUGGAUGCAGGACAUUACAAGCAUGAAAAAAGCCAGAAUUUGUUCUCUGAGUUUGCUUCAGCAAGAGUAGAAAUUCAGUGUAUGCCCUGCAGAGGUUGGUUAGUAGCUACCUUCAACAACCUUCAUCAAGAGUUGAAGGAAAAAAGGCAAGAAAAACCUGUAGGCAGUGGCGUUGGCUGGCAAAAAGCCUCCAGCUGUGAUUUACAUAUCACAUGAUGGUGUUGGUACAGUGCACGUUAGUAUGAACAGAUAAUUCCGCUCCUUACUCACCAGCGAAUGUCAUUUUUUUCAUGCUCUUUACAAAGACGGUUCUGAUGGCGAGCCGUUGAGCAGAAGUGUUUCAGACUAGAGGGUCAACCAUCUCAGUGCUUCCUCUUGUUGUACAAAGUGGUGUUUGUGCUGGUGAGGAGGUCUUUUCCUUCUCAAACUUAGUUCAAAAGUAAAGCCCUUUAGGUAUCCAAACUUGUAUGGAAUGUUUUAUCUUAGUAAGUUACUGAGGAGAAAACAACCCCUUUUCCACCCUCUUUCCUUUUCAGAACACAUUGCAUGGAAUUAAUGGUUGGCAUUUUCAGCCAACUUCGGUUGCAUAUUUCUUCUUUACAUUUAUUUUAAUGUUUUAUCAAGUUUGAGGUCUGAAUUUAAGAUGGUCAGAGUGAAUCAUGGCAUGGACUUUAGCUGUCUUUUUUAGUUUAAUACCACUUAAGGUAAGUGGGGAAAAAAAUUUUUUUUCUCACUCUGAUUUGAAUGGCUUGAUACUCUAAAGCUGUUCUUAAUAUUAGCCUUAAAUCAAAUUGCUACUGCACUGUCAGCAUCAAAAAAAUGUCUCUUGUAGGUUGCGAGCUUUCUCAAGAAUUAAAUACUCUCAGCAUUACCACAUCCAUCCAUGAUAUCAUGGAUAUAGUACAUUUAUUUCCCACAUCAGCUAACCCUUUUGUGUCAAAAACAGUGUUCUGUAAAAAAAAAUAUGCAUAGAGCACAUGGAGCACUGCUGUCUGAUCCAAAGUCAGUAAAGCCUGACAAAGCUUCAGGCUUAGGUCGAGUUUGGGUUUGGUUAUUUAUGAAUGUCAGUAAGGAAAUGUCACCCCUCCUCUCUCUGACUGUGCCAAUUGUCUGCAUCCAUCUGUGUCAUGCGACGCAAUUCAAUAUGCAAAUGCCCGGUGUGACAAGGGAAAAAGGCUGUAGAGUGUAGCCAAGGUGAUGCAUUAGCCUGCUGAGUUAACAGUCAAUACAGGAUGAAAUAAAGCAAAUAUUUUGUAUAGUUUCAUGUCUUGGGCUUCAGUUGUCAAAUUUGCAUAAAAGUUUAGUCAGGUUGGGUCUUAAAGAUGCAGGUAUUAGGUAGGUUUGGGUCUAUUUUUUUUUUUCAAAAAUUCUCAAACUUCAUUUCUCCAUAUUUAAUAACUUGUAAGGUUGCAUAUGAUUACAUUUAUUAACAAUAUUGCAUUACAGAAUAUUUUACUUUGAGAGACACACAGAUGAGUUUCACUGUUAAUAACCCAUGAGAGCAUAGAAUACGUACAGACACAGACAUAUGCACUACAGAUGGGUGCGCACAUAGAUUAUCCCUCUCUCACUCCCUUACACAGACAUACACACAAGCACUGUUCCCUCUAAGCUGCGCACGUGCGCAAUUGCGCACUGCUGACACGGUCUCCGCGCACAGAAAAUCUGCGCUGCGCACAAAAAAAAAAAACCAACCUAAAUUGUAAAUAAAAUAAACACGUAACAAUUCAUUCUGUGCUAUUUUUCAGUGUGACUCAGUGAGUGACCGGUGACUGGCUGCUGCAGCCAAUGAUGCGAUUCACAUACGUAUUUACCAUAGACUGGAUAUAAUGGUAUUUACGCAGCUAAUCAACGUCAGGCGUCCUUAUGUGCAGCCACCGUUGUUGUCAUAGAUAUGAAUCAGUAGAUAGGACACGUCCCUUUGAGCUGCGUGCUACUGCGAGGCUAAGCUAGUGGGGGAAAAGUUUCAGUGCAUUCCGUUGAUGUAGACGGCGUGAAAACGGAAACAAGUAUGUCGGCUCACUGUGCUUCAUACAAUUACACACUGCGUCGUACGAUUGAGACAAGGAAACUUGGAAUGACUCUUCAUAGGUAAGAGUAGUUUUUGGCUCUUUUUUCAUUAUGAAAUCUUGUUGAGAGCUUCCAGUCUAUGAGAGCUAACGAGUUAGCCACUAGCAAAACGCUAAGGCGAGCUAGCAGCUUGACAACCAAAUACCAGACGAUUAAUAGUAGCUGUAGUAUAGUUGUACAAGCAGUAGUAGUAAUACUAAAAGUACAAGCAGCAGUAGUAGUAUAAACAGCUGUUAGAGUCGUAGAAGUAGUGUCAGCAUUUGUAAUAGUAUUACAAGUUGUAGUAGCAGUGCCAGUAUCAGCAGCAGUAGUUAAUGUACUACCAUUACUACUAGUAGUAGUCACAUUGCUAUUACUACCACCAAUACUACCAAUAGUAGUUCUAAAGCCUAACUCAUGUAUAUCCAGAUUACCAUCUAUGUUCUUCCUCCAAACCCAUUUUAUGAUUGGGAUUACAGGCAGUUCUUUAGGACUGCUCUCAAAUAAUUGAAAUGUUACUAAACAAGGUUAUACUUAUCAAAUUAAAUAGCUCUCGUCUCCAGUAUAUUGGCGAAUUCGGUUCUUUGUACUUAAUUUAUUAGCAUGAUUUCUUUUUUAAUAUGUUGUGUACAGACUUAAUUACUUCUCUGUCUACUUUUCUUACUCCAUGUAGGUUUCCCAGAGACUAUGGGUUGAGGAGGAAGUGGAAGUGUGUCGGCUUAGACCUGGUGUCAUUCCAUCAGUGUUAAACUUCCCGGCUCAUCUUGGAAGAGUACGUGCCAGAAAGACCACGACCAAGCAGCCUUGAGAUCUUAGGCAGCGUCUCCCUGAGGUCCCUCUCUAUCUCCCCACACAUCCACCAACCACUGGAACACAUCUCCAAAGUUCUGCCGGGCCAGCUCAGCUUCCCCUCAGAAGAAGUGCAACCACCUGCCAGAUGAAGGAGCCUUUUGAGAGGCAGCUGGCAUCGUGAUUGGACUGUACUUUGGUCUGUUCCAAUCCAGCUUCAGCUCCAGAGACGGCAGGCGGGACGAGUCAACGGAGGCCGGGUGGACGAAGGCAUGAAGCUGAGUACAAUCCAGAAAACAACAGAGGAGGAGUGCAGGGCCAGAACAAACAGAGUAGCAUCUUAUGUCUCUUAGAAAACAUCAUAGUAUAG